GACGAACGCUGGCGGCGUGCUUAACACAUGCCAGUCGAACGGAAAGGCCCUGCUUUUGUGGGGUGCUCGAGUGGCGAACGGGUGAGUAACACGUGAGUAACCUGCCCUUGACUUUGGGAUAACUUCAGGAAACUGGGGCUAAUACCGGAUAGGAGCUCCUGCUGCAUGGUGGGGGUUGGAAAGUUUCGGCGGUUGGGGAUGGACUCGCGGCUUAUCAGCUUGUUGGUGGGGGAGUGGCUUACCAAGGCUUUGACGGGUAGCCGGCCUGGGAGGGUGACCGGCCACAUUGGGACUGAGAUACGGCCCGGACUCCUACGGGAGGCAGCAGUGGGGAAUAUUGCACAAUGGGCGGAAGCCUGAUGCAGCAACGCCGCGUGCGGGAUGACGGCCUUCGGGUUGUAAACCGCUUUCGCCUGUGACGAAGCGUGAGUGACGGUAAUGGGUAAAGAAGCACCGGCUAACUACGUG
rnacentral:rRNA from 1 species